CUCCGAAUGUUGUUGUUGGUGGCGGCGGCGAGCGGAGCCGGAGGAGCUGCCGCAAAGAUGGAGGAGCCGUCGAGGAGGCGCUGCCGCUGCUGCCGCCGCCGCUGCUGCCGCCGCCGCCUGCGAAGCCGGAGCUCGAGCCGCAGGGGGGAUGCUGUUCUGAGUGCCUGACUGCCUCGCCCUGAAGGAUGGCCUCGGAUGGGCGUUAGAGGCACAGCGGCCCCGGGCUCCUGUCCCGUCCGUCUGUCUGUUAUCGUCUGUGUCUCUUGACAUCACUGCAGCUCCACCCCCUCCCAUCCCAGCCCCCAACGCCAGCUUCCUGUGGGCCCAGAGCCGGCAUGAACACUCCCACCGAGUCGGCAGAUGGGAUGCAAGGCCGGGAACCAUCCUUGGAAAUCCUGCCUCGGACCCCUCUACACGGCAUCCCUGUGGCAGUGGAGGUGAAGCCGGUGCUGCCAGGAGCCAUGCCCAGCUCCAUGGGGGGCGGGGGAGGAGGCAGCCCCAGCCCCGUGGAGCUUCGGGGUGCUCUGGCAGGCCCCGUGGACCCCGCGCUGCGGGAGCAGCAACUCCAGCAGGAGCUCCUGGCGCUCAAGCAGCAGCAGCAGCUGCAGAAGCAGCUCCUGUUCGCUGAGUUCCAGAAACAGCACGACCACCUGACCCGGCAGCAUGAGGUCCAGCUGCAGAAGCACCUCAAGCAGCAGCAGGAGAUGCUGGCAGCCAAGAGGCAGCAGGAGCUGGAGCAGCAGCGGCAGCGGGAGCAGCAACGGCAGGAGGAGCUGGAGAAGCAGCGGCUGGAGCAGCAGCUGCUCAUCCUGCGAAACAAGGAGAAGAGCAAAGAGAGUGCCAUCGCCAGCACUGAGGUGAAGCUGAGGCUCCAGGAAUUCCUCCUGUCGAAGUCAAAGGAGCCCACACCAGGCGGCCUCAACCAUUCCCUCCCGCAGCAUCCCAAAUGCUGGGGAGCCCACCAUGCUUCUUUGGACCAGAGUUCCCCUCCCCAGAGCGGCCCCCCCGGGACGCCUCCCUCCUACAAGCUGCCUUUGCUUGGGCCCUACGACAGCCGCGAUGACUUCCCCCUCCGCAAAACAGCCUCUGAACCCAACUUGAAAGUACGUUCGAGGCUAAAGCAGAAGGUGGCCGAGCGGAGAAGCAGUCCCCUCCUGCGUCGCAAGGAUGGCACUGUCAUUAGCACCUUUAAGAAGAGAGCUGUUGAGAUCACGGGUGCCGGGCCUGGGGUGUCAUCCGUGUGUAACAGUGCGCCAGGCUCCGGCCCCAGCUCUCCCAACAGCUCGCACAGCACCAUCGCCGAGAAUGGCUUUACGGGCUCAGUCCCCAACAUCCCCACCGAGAUGCUCCCCCAGCACCGGGCCCUCCCUCUGGACAGCUCCCCCAACCAGUUCAGCCUCUACACGUCUCCCUCUCUGCCCAACAUCUCCCUAGGGCUGCAGGCCACGGUCACUGUCACCAACUCGCACCUCACCGCCUCCCCGAAGCUGUCAACGCAGCAGGAGGCCGAGAGGCAGGCCCUCCAGUCCCUGCGGCAGGGUGGCGCACUGACGGGCAAGUUCAUGAGCACAUCCUCCAUCCCUGGCUGCCUGCUGGGCGUGGCACUGGAGGGCGACACGAGCCCCCACGGGCAUGCCUCCCUGCUGCAGCACGUGCUGCUGCUGGAGCAGGCCCGGCAGCAGAGCACCCUCAUCGCGGUGCCACUCCACGGGCAGUCCCCGCUGGUGACGGGUGAACGCGUGGCCACCAGCAUGCGGACGGUGGGCAAGCUCCCAAGGCACCGGCCCCUGAGCCGCACUCAGUCCUCGCCGCUGCCCCAGAGCCCCCAGGCCCUGCAGCAGCUGGUCAUGCAGCAGCAGCACCAGCAGUUCCUGGAGAAGCAGAAGCAGCAACAGCUGCAGCUGGGCAAGAUCCUCACCAAGACUGGGGAGCUGCCCCGGCAGCCCACCACCCACCCGGAGGAGACAGAGGAGGAGCUGACGGAGCAGCAGGAGGCCUUGCUGGGGGAGGGAGCCCUGACCAUCCCCCGAGAAGGCUCCACGGAGAGCGAGAGCACGCAGGAAGACCUGGAGGAGGAGGAAGAGGAGGAGGAGGAAGAGGAGGAGGAGGAGGAGGAUUGUAUCCAGGUCAAGGAUGAGGCGGGCGAGAGUGGUGCUGAGGAGGGCCCCGACUUGGAGGAGUCCAGUGCUGGUUACAAAAAGGUGUUUGCAGAUGCCCAGCAGCUGCAGCCGCUGCAGGUGUACCAGGCACCCCUCAGCCUGGCCACUGUGCCCCACCAGGCCCUGGGCCGCACCCAGUCCUCACCUGCUGCCCCAGGGGGCAUGAAGAGCCCCCCAGACCAGCCCACCAAGCACCUCUUCACCACAGGUGUGGUCUACGACACGUUCAUGCUGAAGCACCAGUGCAUGUGCGGGAACACACACGUGCACCCGGAGCACGCUGGCCGGAUUCAGAGCAUCUGGUCCCGGCUGCAGGAAACAGGCCUGCUCAGCAAGUGUGAGCGGAUUCGGGGUCGCAAAGCCACGCUGGACGAGAUCCAGACGGUGCACUCCGAGUACCACACCCUGCUCUAUGGGACCAGCCCCCUCAACCGCCAGAAGCUGGACAGCAAGAAGCUGCUGGGCCCCAUCAGCCAGAAGAUGUAUGCUGUGCUGCCCUGCGGGGGCAUCGGGGUGGACAGCGACACAGUGUGGAAUGAGAUGCACUCCUCCAGUGCUGUGCGCAUGGCGGUGGGCUGCCUGGUGGAGCUGGCAUUCAAGGUGGCUGCGGGGGAGCUCAAGAAUGGAUUUGCCAUCAUCCGGCCCCCAGGCCACCACGCGGAGGAAUCCACAGCCAUGGGAUUCUGCUUCUUCAACUCUGUAGCCAUCACAACCAAACUUCUGCAGCAGAAGCUGAACGUGGGCAAGGUUCUCAUCGUGGACUGGGACAUACACCACGGCAAUGGCACCCAGCAAGCAUUCUACAACGACCCCUCCGUGCUCUAUAUCUCUCUGCAUCGCUAUGACAAUGGGAACUUCUUUCCAGGCUCUGGGGCUCCUGAAGAGGUUGGCGGAGGGCCGGGUGUGGGGUACAAUGUGAACGUGGCAUGGACGGGAGGUGUGGACCCCCCCAUCGGAGACGUGGAGUACCUAACGGCCUUCAGGACAGUGGUGAUGCCCAUCGCCCACGAGUUCUCACCUGACGUGGUCCUGGUUUCCGCCGGGUUUGAUGCUGUUGAGGGACACUUGUCUCCGUUGGGUGGCUACUCUGUCACCGCCAGAUGGCCGCACCUGUGGCUUAUCGGGUAUAUGAAGGUUUUCAGGCCAGGGGUCUCAUCGGAGCUACAGCUGCCGGCCUACACCACAGCCACAGCAACGCACUGUCUGAGCCUCGUCUGCGACCUACACCACAGCUCACAGCAACACCGGAUCCUUAACCCGCUGAGAGAGGCCGGGGAUCAAGCCCUCAUCCUCAUGGAUGCUAGUUGGGUUCGUUAACCUCUGAGCCACGAUGGGAACGCCUAACCGUUUUUCUGUAAUCUUUCUCCCUUUGUCCAUCCCUAAAGGUUUUGGCCACUUGACCAGGCAGCUGAUGACGCUGGCAGGGGGCCGGGUGGUGCUGGCCCUGGAGGGAGGCCAUGACUUGACCGCCAUCUGUGAUGCCUCUGAGGCCUGUGUCUCAGCUCUGCUCAGCGUGGAGCUGCAGCCCUUGGACGAGGCAGUCCUGCAACAAAAGCCCAACAUCAAUGCAGUGGCCACGCUAGAGAAAGUCAUCGGGAUCCAGAGCAAACACUGGAGCUGUGUGCAGAGGUUCGCUGCUGGUCUAGGCCGUUCCCUGCGGGAGGCCCAGGCAGGCGAGACAGAGGAGGCCGAGACUGUGAGCGCCAUGGCCUUGCUGUCGGUGGGGGCCGAGCAGGCGCAGGCUGCUGCAGCCCGGGAGCACAGCCCCAGGCCGGCAGAGGAGCCCAUGGAGCAGGAGCCUGCCCUGUGAUGCCCUGGCCCCCGUCCCUCUGGGCUUCAUCAUUGUGAUUUUGUUUAUUUUUUCUAUUAAAAAGAAAAAGUCACACAUCCA